CUAUUACUUUUAUUGUUCUUACUUUCUUCUAACUUGAAUUGCUUUUUCAAAAUUCCAAUCCGUUUAUUUUGCUGGAAAUCUACAUAAUGCCAAGACUUUUGUAGUGGCUUUAACCAUAUGGUAAGCAAGAAUGAGACUAUGUAACAAUUGAUAUGGACUAUUCUUGUUCUAAUUUUCUGUUGUUUUUUUAUCGUUUCUUUGUUUGAUGUAGCAGCUUGACCAUAAAUAUAUUGUUGCUUUCUGGAACACAGUACAUUGCGGCUGAAUUUAUCCUCACACAAAAAAAUACCGACUAUGACAGUUUUUAUGAAGGGAUAAAUUAAUUCCUCAACUACAAAUUAAAGUUUAAAUUUGACUCUGUUGACUGUGAGAUUUUCAUUGCAACCAAAUAAAUUCAAUAAGCAAUUUUGCACUCACAAAUUCUAAAUUAUGCUUAAAUAACAUUUGUACCAUAUCUAUUAAAUCAGAUGAACUAACUUAAAUCAGAUGAAUUGACUUAAAUCUGGUGAUCUGAUUUUGUACUCACGAAUUUUAAAAUAUGCUUAAAUAAUAUUUGCUCUUAUUCUUUCAUCUUUUCAAAGGAUCACAAUUCAUAACCUACCUCUAAAGCAUCCCUGACUAAUGCACUUACUAAUGCAUAAUCUUAGUGUUAUGGAUUUUGAAUUCUUCAAAUAUAUUUUUUAAUCAAUAGGUUUACGAUUAUUUAAAUAUGCUAGUUUUAGGGUCUUUUGGUUGUUUCGGUCAUUGAUAAAUAUUGAACAUAUUAGAGGCAAAUCUAUUGCUUAUACUUUCAGUUGUGGAUUUGCAACUACAGUGAAUCAACAACUCUGCCACUAUUGGCCGCUGGGUGCUUUAGAAUUAGUUCAAGAAGUUAACCAAAACACUGUCAGACCAUUUCUUUCAGCUAUUGUUCCUAAUUAUUUUUUUUGUCUUACUUUGUUCAUAGGAGAUUUUUAUAAUUUCCUUCAUAUUUUCUACAAAGCGGCUUUGAACUGAUAUUUGGCGACUCUUGUUUUUUUAGAUAAAUUAACUUAUCAUUUUGUUUGAAAAUGUUUAUUUUUUUAAAAGAUUUUUUACUAUUGAAAUGCUAGUUUUUUUAAUAUUUGAUUUUGAAUGUUUUACCAAUUCUAUCAUUUAUAUUUUUGAGCUGCUAAUCUAUAUGUUUUUCAUACUGUUAACUCUCUUAAUAUCAUAUAAACUUGGUGUAGCGUUUGAUCUUUUACUUGGUGCAUAGUAGCUGUUCUAUAGUGGAAAAUGUUUUUGUUCAAAACAUCACCGUUUUGUAGUCGAGCAGUUGGCUACUGAUUUUGGCCCCAUCUUGGAGACACAGUUCCAGUCCUCUAAUCAACUAUUGUACUACUGCUUCAGAAAAUGAUGAAGAGCUUCGUGAAGACAGUUUGCAGGCUCUGGAGAGUUUUCUUCUAAGGUGUACAAGGGACAUUUCUGUUUAUUGUGACGAAAUUCUUCAUUUGGCACUAGCAUAUCUGAGUUUAUAACCCAAACUUUACUGACAACAUGGAGGAGGAUACUGAUGAUGAAGGUCAUGAAGAGGAGGCGGAUGACGGGAGUGCAAAUGAAUAUACAGAUGAUGAUGCCAGCUGGAAAGUUCACAGAGCAGCGGCUAAAUGCUUAGCUGCAUUGAUUGUUUCUCGUCGUGAGUUGCUUUCAAAGCUGUAUGAUGAGGCUUGUCCAAAACUGAUUGACAGAUUUAAAGAGAUAGAAGAAAAUGUCAAGGCAUCCUUGGAAUAAGGGGAAGACUGUUCUUCUCAUAAGGUGGUUUGUGCCCAGCAAGCUGAAGACCUAAAAUUGAAGGAAAAGAGGAAGCGGGAACGAGAGGGUGAGGGGACAGAUAAGAAUGAAAAGGCUGGAUUGACACAUGCUGAUCUUGCUUACCGACGUGCAAAAGCAGGAAAAGCCACCACAAAGAGGGCACUAGACUCUGGCAAGAUUUUGAAGAAGCCUCAAAAGAAAUCUAAUAUAUCUAAUCCUUCGCGAAAGCCUUCCUCUUCAAGGAUAGAAGAAAUGCAAAGAGAGGUUCUGGAACAGGAAAGAAGGCAAAGAAGUCAUUCAAAAGCAAGUCAAGUGUUGGAAGAGUGAAAAUAAUGAAUCUGAAGAAUGCUUUGCCUUUGAUAAGUUGACAUAGAAGAGAGGGUGUGAAAGGCACAAGUUACUUGGAAAAAUUUGCAUAGAAAGAAGUGCAGAAAGUUGGAAACAGCUAGAGAGAUGUUGGAGGAUGACGAGCAAGAUGACAAACCAAAAGGUGAGGGGACAGAUAAGAAUGAAAAUGCUGGAUUGACACAUGUUGAUCUUGCUUACCGACCUGCAAACGCAGGAAAGGCCACCACCAAGAGGGCACUAGACUCUGGCAAGAUUUUGAAGAAGCCUCAAAAGAAAUCUAAUAAAUCUAAUCCUUCGCGAAAGCCUUCCUCUUCAAGGACAGAAGAAAUGCGGGAGCUAUUCCAGACGAAGGAUAAAAAGCCAUAAUAGAGAGGUUCUAGAACAGGAAAGAAGGCGAAGAAGUCAUUCGAAAGCAAGUCACGAUUUAGAAAGAUGAGACUUCAAUUUGAAGGAUUUUUGAGAGGAAGAGAGGGAUCGAAAGAGGGUGACUUGAGAUUUGAAAGAGGUGAUCUGAGAUACUACAUUUUACGAAAAGUGGUUUCGUUUAUCAAUCACAAGUUUCAUAACACUGGCAGGGUUGCAAAGCAGCUCUCUUAUAAUUUUUUUAAUGCCAAUAUUUUUUUUCAGUAAAUUUUCUCUUUGUUGUCUAUGGCUUUGUUCUCAAAUUGAGAACCCAAAAUUUGCACUACUUACUAAUUCAAGUUGUUUUGCAUAUUAUGCCAUGCAAUACUCUUGAUAUAUUCAAAGUUAAACUAU